rfam:Camelus ferus unplaced genomic scaffold scaffold871, whole genome shotgun sequence.
GAGGGUAUAGCUCAGAGGUAAAGUGCCUGCUUAGCAAGCAGGAAGUCCUGGGUUCAGUCCCCAGUCCCUCCA